rnacentral:rRNA from 1 species
CCUACGGGAGGCUGCAGUGGGGGAUAUUGGACAAUGGGGGGAACCCUGAUCCAGCGACGCCGCGUGAGUGAAGAAGUAUUUCGGUAUGUAAAGCUCUGUCAGCAGGGAAGAAAGCAAUGACGGUACUUGACCAAGAAGCCCCGGCUAACUACGUGCCAGCAGCCGCGGUAAUACGUAGGGGGCAAGCGUUAUCCGGAAUUACUGGGUGUAAAGGGAGCGUAGACGGCUGUGCAAGUCUGGAGUGAAAGGCGGGGGCCCAACCCCCGGACUGCUCUGGAAACUGUAUGGCUGGAGUGCAGGAGAGGUAAGCGGAAUUCCUAGUGUAGCGGUGAAAUGUGUAGAUAUUAGGAGGAACACCAGUGGCGAAGGCGGCUUACUGGACUGUAACUGACGUUGAGGCUCGAAAGCGUGGGGAGCAAACAGGAUUAGAUACCCCGGUAGUC